AUUGAACGCUGGCGGCAGGCCUAACACAUGCAAGUCGAGCGGUAGAGAGAAGCUUGCUUCUCUUGAGAGCGGCGGACGGGUGAGUAAUGCCUAGGAAUCUGCCUGGUAGUGGGGGAUAACGUUCGGAAACGGACGCUAAUACCGCAUACGUCCUACGGGAGAAAGCAGGGGACCUUCGGGCCUUGCGCUAUCAGAUGAGCCUAGGUCGGAUUAGCUAGUUGGUGGGGUAAUGGCUCACCAAGGCGACGAUCCGUAACUGGUCUGAGAGGAUGAUCAGUCACACUGGAGCUGAGACACGGUCCAGACUCCUACGGGAGGCAGCGGUGGGGAAUAUUGGACAAGGGGCGAAAGCCUGAUCCAGCCAUGCCGCGUGUGUGAAGAAGGUCUUCGGAUUGUAAAGCACUUUAAGUUGGGAGGAAGGGCAGUAAAUUAAUACUUUGCUGUUUUGACGUUACCGACAGAAUAAGCACCGGCUAACUCUGU
rnacentral:rRNA from 1 species